GGCCGGGUGGCCUAAUGGUAAGGCGUUUGAUUUCGGCGGGAAUCUUCCAGUAGGGAGAACACCUGAAGUCUCAAAAGAUUGCGUGUUCGAGUCGCGCCUCGGUCG